rnacentral:misc_RNA from 1 species
GAAGUCGUUACUCCAACCCUUGUGGAGGAGGACGCCGAAGGUGGGGCUAAUGACUGGGGUGAAGUCGUAACAAGGUAGCCGUACCGGAAGGUGCGGCUGGAUCACCUCCUAACAGGGAGACAACAAAAUGUAAAUAUUAAUUUUGUCACCUUAGGUCGAUCGGUAUCUCAGAUUCUUAUUAUUUAAGAAUUUCAGUUUCUAAGUUUUUUCUAGGUCACACCCAUCACUUUUUCCUGGGCCAUUAGCUCAGGUGGUUAGAGCGCACCCCUGAUAAGGGUGAGGUCCCUGGUUCAAGUCCAGGAUGGCCCAUAUCUCUAUGUUGGGGGUAUAGCUCAGUUGGUAGAGCGCCUGCUUUGCAAGCAGGAUGUCAGCGGUUCGAGUCCGCUUACCUCCACUGAAUACCACCUCUUACAUAUAGUUGAAGUGGGAAAUUGUUUUGAGUCGUGUCCUAAUUUGCUCUGAGCGAAUCUAGCUUCCUAUUUUAUCCAAGAAAUAAGAUGCUGGACUCAUUGAAUUUUUUUUCAUUGUUUUCAGAGAACCUUGACAACUGCAUAGAUUAUUUUUAAAGACAAUAAGCAUCUUUAAUGAUGCAGAUUUAUUAUUUGUGCGAAUGCAUUAAAUAACAAUUCUAUUAAGCUGAUGCUUCAAUUAUUGAAGUUAUUGGUCAAGCUACAAAGGGCUCACGGAGGAUACCUAGGCACACAGAGGCGAUGAA